AACGAACGCUGGCGGCGUGCCUAACACAUGCAAGUCGAACGGAUUGAAGGGGCUUGCUCCUUCAGUUAGUGGCGCACGGGUGAGUAACGCGUAGAUAAUCUGCCUGAUGAUCUGGGAUAACAGUUCGAAAGGACUGCUAAUACCGGAUAAGCCCACGUGGUCUUUGGACCGUGCGGGAAAAGGGGGGGACCUUCGGGCCUUCUGUCAUCAGAUGAGUCUGCGUACCAUUAGCUAGUUGGUGGGGUAAUGGCCUACCAAGGCUACGAUGGUUAGCUGGUUUGAGAGAAUGAUCAGCCACACUGGAACUGAGACACGGUCCAGACUCCUACGGGAGGCAGCAGUGGGGAAUUUUGCGCAAUGGGCGAAAGCCUGACGCAGCAACGCCGCGUGAGUGAUGAAGGCUUUCGGGUCGUAAAGCUCUGUCGAGGGGAAAGAAGUGUAUUGUGGUUAAUACCCGCGAUACUUGACGGUACCCCUAAAGGAAGCACCGGCUAACUCCGUGCCAGCCGCCGCAGUAAUAC
rnacentral:rRNA from 1 species